AGCAGCCGCGGUAAUUCCAGCUCCAAUAGCGUAUAUUAAAGUUGUUGCAGUUAAAAAGCUCGUAGUUGAAUUUCGGGGUCAGUAGGUUGGUCAUGCCACUGGUAUGUACUGGUCUCACUGAUUCCUCCUUCCUGAUGAGCCGUAAUGCCAUUAAUUUGGUGUUGCGAGGAAUCUGGACUGUUACUUUGAAAAAAUUAGAGUGUUUAAAGCAAGCUAACGCUUGAAUACAUUAGCAUGGAAUAAUGAAAUAGGACGUUCGAUCCUAUUUUGUUGGUUUCUAGGAUUGACGUAAUGAUUAAUAGGGAUAGUUGGGGGCAUUAGUAUUCAAUUGUCAGAGGUGAAAUUCUUGGAUUUAUUGAAGACUAACUACUGCGAAAGCAUUUGCCAAGGAUGUUUUCAUUAAUCAAGAACGAAAGUUAGGGGAUCGAAGACGAUCAGAUACCGUCGUAGUCUUAACCAUAAACUAUGCCGACUAGGGAUCGGAUGAUGUUAAUUUUUAAUGACUCAUUC
rnacentral:rRNA from 1 species